rnacentral:rRNA from 1 species
AGCCCCAGAUAAAAUCUGAGGUGUAACCUGCCCAGUGGUUUCUAAUAAAAGAAGUUAAAGUUCUAUAAUGAAACUAAAAGGACGCGGUAACCUUGACCGUGAUAAUGUAGCAUAAUCACUCGCCAUUUAAUUGGUGGAUAGUAUGAAUGGUUGAACGAAUAUUCCGCUGUCUUAGAAAGAAUUACUAGAAAUUGAAAUAAUAGUUAAGAUGCUAUUUUUUACUGUAAGACGAAAAGACCCUAUAGAGCUUAACUAUAAUCUCUUUAUUAUAAAAGAACAAAAAUUCUAUAGAUAAAGAGACUGGUAGUUUAGUUGGGGCGACUGUCUUUUAUAUAAAACAAAGACAAGCAAUGUUAAUAAAAAACUUAUUGUAUAACAAAAAUGUUUAACAAUUAUUAAAAUAGGCUAUAAUGACCCGUUAUUUCUUUAUAAAAAGAAUAACGAUCAAUUAAUAAAAGCUACCUUAGGGAUAACAGGAUAAUUUCAUUUUAGAGUUCCCAUCGAAAAUGAAGUUUGUCACCUCUAUGUUGAAUUAAGAUAUCCUGAUAAUGCAGCAGUUAUCAAAGGUAGGUCUGUUCGACCUUUAAAAUCUU